rfam:Drosophila simulans chrT_M_6031 genomic scaffold, whole genome shotgun sequence.
AUUCUGGUUGAUCCUGCCAGUAGUUAUAUGCUUGUCUCAAAGAUUAAGCCAUGCAUGUCUAAGUACACACGAAUUAAAAGUGAAACCGCAAAAGGCUCAUUAUAUCAGUUAUGGUUCCUUAGAUCGUUAACAGUUACUUGGAUAACUGUGGUAAUUCUAGAGCUAAUACAUGCAAUUAAAACAUGAACCUUAUGGGACAUGUGCUUUUAUUAGGCUAAAACCAAGCGAUCGCAAGAUCGUUAUAUUGGUUGAACUCUAGAUAACAUGCAGAUCGUAUGGUCUUGUACCGACGACAGAUCUUUCAAAUGUCUGCCCUAUCAACUUUUGAUGGUAGUAUCUAGGACUACCAUGGUUGCAACGGGUAACGGGGAAUCAGGGUUCGAUUCCGGAGAGGGAGCCUGAGAAACGGCUACCACAUCUAAGGAAGGCAGCAGGCGCGUAAAUUACCCACUCCCAGCUCGGGGAGGUAGUGACGAAAAAUAACAAUACAGGACUCAUAUCCGAGGCCCUGUAAUUGGAAUGAGUACACUUUAAAUCCUUUAACAAGGACCAAUUGGAGGGCAAGUCUGGUGCCAGCAGCCGCGGUAAUUCCAGCUCCAAUAGCGUAUAUUAAAGUUGUUGCGGUUAAAACGUUCGUAGUUGAACUUGUGCUUCAUACGGGUAGUACAACUUACAAUUGUGGUUAGUACUAUACCUUUAUGUAUGUAAGCGUAUUACCGGUGGAGUUCUUAUAUGUGAUUAAAUACUUGUAUUUUUUCAUAUGUUCCUCCUAUUUAAAAACCUGCACUAGUGCUCUUAAACGAGUGUUAUUGUGGGCCGGUACUAUUACUUUGAACAAAUUAAAGUGCUUAAAGCAGGCUUUAAAUGCCUGAAUAUUCUGUGCAGGGGAUAAUGAAAAAAAACCUCGGUUCCGCCUCUCAUGGGUUUUAAAAUCAAAAGGAAAGAAUAACAAAAACAUUUUGGGGGCAAUUAUAAUACAACCCCAAAAGGAAAAU